rnacentral:lncRNA from 1 species
UGAAACAAAGAUAUCAUCUUUAGAUUGGUCUCCAAGUGUUAAGAGGGUCACUCACAGCUGCCCCAAACUCCAAAGAACCGCACACGGCCACCAGAGUGCUAAGCAGCAACACCCCCGUGGCAGAGCCGCCGCCGCCGCCGCCGCCCCCUGACGAAGCUGCCGUCAAGAGCCCCUGUUCUGCACCUUCUUGUCUGUCCAUGUCUCUGUUUUCCCAACAAAAUCAGAGGAUCCGUGAGGAUCAUUUAGUUUCGUCAGCGAAGUAAAUUUAGUUACCAGCGACCCACGAGUGCAGCUGCUGGUCAACGCGUUCUAAAACUGACAAUACUCCUUAAAAUGCAUCGCACCUCCUACGUUCGUCGUGGCAGGCUUGAAAAGCCGAUGAACUGGUCGGUUGCAGACCCACGAGUCGCCUUUGAACGGUGCUUACACACUCGUGGGUGUGUCAAGGGUGUUCGGCUGUGACGUCCUUUGUUCUUGGCUUGACGAUGCAGACGAGAUUUACUAUCGUUGUGUCGAAAAUAAAGGAAUGAACUUGAAUUGCGACGCGAUGAAAAGAUUGAUCCUUCGACAGACCAGUCAUGGCCGCCGUGGAUGAGAAAGAGGUGUGGAUCAAUGGCGACGUAACAGCACAGCAGGACCGAAACAUGUCUCCCUG